GCCCAGGUAGCUCAGUCGGUAGUAGCAGUGGACUGAAAAUCCUCGUGUCGGUGGUUCGAUUCCGCCCCUGGGCA
rnacentral:tRNA from 1 species